UCCGAUCGUUUUCAAUUUUUCCCCUCCCUCCCGAGCCGCUCGCGCGGGCGGCUCUGGAGGCGAAAACCCUAGCCCCCCGAGCCCCCCUCCCCUGCUCCCCUGGCCGCCGCUGCCGCCGGCGCCGAUGGUGGUGGCGGCGCCCGGCCGUCGAAGGCGGUGGGCGAGUUCGGCGCGCUCCGGUGGGCCCCCUCGCGCGGGGGAGAGGCGUCAAGUGGGCUGCGAGGUGGUCUUCUCCGGUGAGGCGGCGCGCGUCGAGGUGCGUACGGAGUGGUGGAGCAUGGUCGCGGGUUCGACGAGGAGGUGCUGGUGCACGGCGACCUGCUGGGAGCCGCUGGAUGGUGGUCGGAGGGGAGGCGCACCUAGGCCAGGGAAGCGGCGGAUCUGGGCCAGGAGUGGCCGUGCGAGCGGCGGCCGGGAUCUGCUGCGGCGGCCGGUUGGUGUGUUUUGCCCCUGCUGGCCCCGGCGAGGAUCUGCAGGUGGGUGGUGGAGGCGCAGGCUGAAUCCGGGGAGCUUGUGCCCGGGUCAGCGGCUUGCUGCGGGGAGCAUGCGCGCGCGAGGUGGCUCCCCUGUCGUGGCUCCCUGGGCUCUGUCCGCUGCAAGGCUGUCCGCUAGGAGGUGGUGUGGCAGCUGCUUGCGGCGGCGGAAGAUCCUGGCCGUGUUGGUUGUUGGUAGGAGAGAUGGAGUUGUUGUCCCCGGCCGUGCCGGAGGUGGAAGCUGGACUGCGUGUCCUCGACGUGCAGGGUGUUGGUGUUCAGUGCACUUUGAUCACAAUGGCGAGGUGCUGCGGCGGCGGCGGUUUAAUCCAGCACUGACGACGGCCUCAAUUCUUCGCAAGGGGUGGGAGGUGGCCGACUGUACGGAUGAAAAUCCUGCCCGUCUUCGGUCGGUGUUGGCGGCGACGGCGCCUAUGGGCGUCGUUCCCCUCCUUGGAGGCGUCGCUUAGGUGUGUCGCCAUCUCCCCGUCUUGGUUGGUUGCGGUCUCCGGGCGAAAGCCUAGGUCUUGGGCCAGCGAUGGCGGCGUCCUAGCGCCGUAUCUCUGUUGGGAGCAUCGUGGAGGGAGACAUGGCUUGUUCGGUGCUGCGGUCUUCCGGUGCGUGUCGCUAGUCCGAGUAGAGGUUCUUGGGCGCAAUAUACGUCGAUGCCGGAGACUCCAAGACGGUGGCUUUGGCGGGGCCAACCAAGUCCCUCCACCCACUCGCCAUCUCCUUUCGGCAAUCAAGAGUGGUUGGUGCGUCGGCAAGGGAGGUCCGAUUAAAGUUGCUACUUUUCGUGGUGAUCGGUGUAGGUCGAGACGCGGCCUUGAUGCUCUUCAGGACAAGUUCCUUUGUGUUAUGUUUGUUAUGUGUGCGGAGGCUUCUCUUCGGAUUAGCUCGGGUGUGGUGUUGGUACUAGACUUGUUGUUCGCAACGAGUUGUAGUCUCUUAUAAUUGUCUUUUGCCUUCUAUAAAAAUAUGGUACGUCUUUGGCGUACUCUCGAAAAAAAAAAUUCUCCCCUUUGAUUGCUCAGCGCAGGAGGGUGGAUAUCUGAUGAUACGGCUCAUCAGAUGAUACAGUGAUCCCGUACCAUCUUGGACGUUAGAUCUGGACUAUAGGGACAGGAUUGAUCAACCUCUUCCCCACUGAAAAAUAUGCAUAGGGCACCCUGUGUUUUGCCGUAAAUGAGCGACUACUGCGUAUCCCGUCGUCCUGUGCGCCUCGAACAGAAUCCUGCUCGUCCCCCCGCCGCUGCCGGGUACCAUAGGGCUUUUUCCCACCGCCACCGGCCACCAUGACGCCAUGCCCCAUCCACUCUCGCUAGCCCCGACUACACAACAACCUAUUCAGCUCCACCGUGUGUGCCGAACCCGUUGCUCAGAUGAGAUCCACGCUCGACAGUACGAUGGGAGGCGAGACAAAUCUCUCCCCACCGCCGCUGGAACCGGAGACUCUACGCGGCGAGGAGCAGGAUUGGGUGUCGGCGCUGGGGGAGUCAGUUUCCUUCGGACGAUUCCUCUCUCAGCCGCUGGAGUGGGUGCCAUGGCGCAAAUCCUAGUUGUGCCGCCGGCUACCAUGGGUCAUGUCCAAUCAUCACCAGCAGCUGAGCUCGAUCUAUCGGUAGAAGGCAAUUUGUCAGUGCCAGUUGCAGCGGUCGGAGCUCGAUCUGCCUCCUCCAACUGUGGUGAUAUGUGCAUUGGGGGUUAUCGCCCAACCAAUAGUUGUAAUACGGCGGCGGCCCGUUCAUCAGGAAGUGCAGCACAUAUGGGAGGAUCCGAGCUCUAUCUGGGCAAAUAAAUUAGAUGCAAAAUUAUGAUUGACGGCUAUGCAGCGAAAUCAGAACUAGCGGCUCCUAUCAUGUGACGAAUGUAUUUGGAAAAAGAAACUGAGGAAGGAACUAUGUACAAGUGCACAAAGGAGUUUUGCUCAGGCAGAAAGCAAAAUUGAAAAAGACAUGAGCAGGCUGUUACGAAGAAGGUGAACAACCUGGACCUAGGCGGCGAGGGGGAGCUCGGGAAGGCUAUGGGACCUGAGAGCAUCUUCAAGUCCAGGUUAUGCAUGAGCUUUCUCGCCGGCGAGUCAUGCGCCUUCGGCGGCAGAUGCUCCUUUCGCCCAUGCCAAAGUUGAGUUGCGCAGUCCUGCUGCAUCUCAAGAAGUCGAAGACCAAGUGGUUCUCAUGGUGUUCAUGAUGAUUAUGCGUCUGUUAUUUUGCGAAAAUGCCUAAACAAAAAACUUUUCUUGUCUAUUUUUGUCGUAGUCCAUUUUUUCGGUUCAAUGAAUUCAUGAUAGGCAAGGCAUAAAAAAUGGAGUGAACAGAAAUUCAUUCGUAAACUCGAGAUAUUAAUAUUAGAGCAUCAAGCAUGUAAAUCGCUGUACUAAUGAGGCAGCCCAUGUUUUGGCAAAAUCUGGUGAAGAUGAUGCUAGGUCCUGCUUGUAUAAUAGUGUACCUGAUGUUAUCAGGAGAUUGUUUGUAAUGAUGAGAUAUGAAUGAAUGAUAGGGUUCUGCCCAUUGUCCCAAAA